rnacentral:rRNA from 1 species
GAUGAACGCUGGCGGCGUGCCUAAUACAUGCAAGUCGAACGAACAGACGCGGAGCUUGCUCCUCUCACGUUAGCGGCGGACGGGAGAGUAACACGUGUAUAACCUACCUAUAAUUCUGGGAUAUUCUCGGGACACCGGAUCUAAUACCAGAUAAUCUAUUGAACCGCAUGGUUCAAUAGUGAAAGACGGUUUUGCUGUCUCUUAUAGAUGGAUCCGGGCGGCAUUAGCUAGUUGGUAAGGUAACGGCUUACGAAGGCAACGAUGCGUAGCCGACGUGAGAGAGUGAUCGGCCACAUGGGAACGGAGACACGGUCCAGACGCCUACGGGAGGCAGCAGUAGGGAAUCUUCCGCAAUGGGCGAAAGCCUGACGGAGCAACGCCGCGUGAGUUAUGAAGGUCUUCGGAUCGGAAAACUCUGUUAUUAGGGAAGAACAAAUGUGUAAUUAACUAUGCACGUCUUGACGGUACCUGAUCAGAAAGCCACGGCUAACUACGUG